CCGUGCCGUGCCGCGCCGCGCCGCAGCGAGCGAUCCCCGCCGCUCCGCCGCUGCCGGCUCCGGCAAGGGAAAAGGCAGUAGUAACCGAAGCUCCUGUGCUCCUGGGAGGAGUAAUCAGAUGAGAGCAUUUGCUGAAACUGCCAGAAAAAAAAUGGGCCAGGACUGCGUCUCACUGCAGGGGGAGGCAUAGGUGAGGCGCACUGUGGUGCACAUCAAAGCAGAUUUCCAGCCCGUGUAGGGAAAACUGAAGAGGAACAGCAACAGAGGAUUCAGAAACCAAGAGGAAGACCCACUCCAGGGAGCUGGACUAGUUACGCCAAGGGCCUGGGCACUUGGCCCCACCACACCUUGAUUGCGAGAAGAGCAGGGAUGGCUGCAAGGGGUUGAACACAGAUGCAGCCAGUGCUCAGGAGUGGCAUGGGCAUGGGGGAGACCGUGGCUGCUGACAAACAGAGCUUCUUGAGUUCAGGGUAUCCAGUAUGGAAAAAUUGGAAGACAGUGGGAAAGAGACAUCUAAUGUUGUUAGGCUUGCCCGCAGCCAGAUGCCAACUGAGGGAGUAGGUCAAGGAGUGUGCUUCUUACUCAUCCCUUCACCCAACAAUCAUUUUCUUGAUGGGAGGAGCUGUUUUGGUCAUAGGACCUUGUUUGCCACUGACCUGUGACUUGUGCUAGCUUGGCCCCACUUUCUAUACGUUUGUUUUUCCUUCUUCCCAUGCUUAAGUACUGGUUUUGAAGACAAUCGAGUGCCUUUUAUUUAUUGGUUAAUGAUGGAACAGUUAGAUAACCGAGUCCUCAAUCUCACAGACUCCUAUAAGUCAUGUAGCGCUGUUGCUGUCUUGCGUGCAUGCCAGAUCUGUGUAAGAUGAGGUUGAAUUUUUGUAUUUGGAAAAGUCACACAUUUUGUCCUUAGUCCCUCUGAAAGUGGCUACCCUUUCAGUCUCGCUGAGUUUCAGCGAACAUAAGCCUGUGUUGCUGGAGACAGCCGUAAGAAUUUGAAUGCCCGCAUGCCUGCUGAAGAGGCAGUUUUGCUGGGACUUCUGUCUCCUUCCAGCACUUCGACAUCUUGAUAUGAUCCCACUACUGAUGGUAAAGCCACCCUGUUAUUUGCUUUAUGCUCUUUCCUGGAAGCUCACGGUCUCCUACGCCUGGUGUGGCCCGUGCUUGUCCUCCCAUUCCCUGUAGCUGUUCUGGGGAUAACUCAGCAGGGAGAUGUAGCCACAUAGACUACCAUGGCAAGUCUCCUGUCGCUCUUCGUGCUCUGCAGCAGGAAAAACCAGCCUGGAGCAAGGUCUGAAAUCCCAGUCUGUCAAAUGAGCAUGUGGACUUCUGGAGGCGUUUUUCCAUCCCACUUUUCCAAUAGUGCUUGCACCAGCUGCACG